rnacentral:lncRNA from 10 species
GUGAGUAAAAGUGGAUCUGCUUUUUGUCCUUUUUUUCAGAGUCCUUAACUCCACAAUAGUUAAAAUGAAAGAAAAAUACUGAGCAUCUGUCAGCCAGUUAAAAGUGACUAGCUCGGCUGGCAAACUUAUGACACAGAGGGCAGGCUUGCUGGAAAGGACACCAUCACCCUCAGGUGUUGGGAAUGUUGGCUUUGUUCCAAACCAAUUUCCCUUCGCAGAGGUCUGGCUGUCCCGUGGUACCAGAAGGAGGUCCUAGGGCAAUUGAAGAUGGGUAACCAACCAUCCUCAGCCUGCACUCCCCUUGAGUGUAUUCUGAAUCACUGGGACUCCGUUGACCCUCAGACUGUAGAGAAAGAGGAAAAAACCUUUUCCCUCCUCUGUCCUCUCUUCCAGCCAGGCAUGACCAUGUAACAGUUUGGGCUGCUGAGCCAGAAGGGAAAGAGUACUACUGCUAGACUUCCAGGAAGGCUGCUCUAAGAAAGAUGACUCAGAGGUUGCACUUUUUUAGUUUUGGGGGUUUUUUUCCCUCUACUUCCUGCUUCUUGGAACUAGGACAUGAUGUCUGGAACUCUAGCAGCCAUUUUGGACCAUGAGGUGAUUGUGCGACUAGAAGACACAUCGUAGAAUGGAGCACCAAGACGAAAGCCCCCAAAGCUGCCCUAUAAGACCUGGACUUCAAACCAGCAAACUUCUUCCAUGUGAGAGAGAAAUAAGCUUAGGUUUUGUUUCUGCCAGUGUUAUCUUUGUUUUCGGUUAUGAGCCACUAAAUGUGAUCCCACUUGUUACCCCAGUCAUUCUCCCAACUUCCUAGACCCAUUAAUAGCAUUCUACACUCACAGUCCAUCAGUGGUGCAAGACUACAACACGAUUUUAAAUCCAAAAGUGAUAUAAAUGAUUUUGUGAUUCUGUGCUGCUGAGAUAUGUGCUUUUUUCAACUUGCAAAAUAUACUAUUGAAAUCUAUAGUUAAAAAAAAAAGA